rnacentral:rRNA from 1 species
AUGUGGGAUCUCAAUGACUCGCCGGCGGCCGACGCGCCGCCGCUGUCCCCGUCCGUCGACGACUCCGGCGCCUCCUCCUCGUCGGCCGCCGCGGUGGUCGAGAUACCCGACGACGCCGACGACGACUCCGCCGAGGCCGUCGUCACGCGCCAGUUCUUCCCCCCGGCCGCCCCGGGCGAGGGCGCCGCCGGGAACGGCCGCGCGGCGUGGCUCCGCCUGGCCGGCGCCCCCGCGCCCGCCGUGGCCGCCGCAGCAGCCGCGGCCGCCGGAGGAGGAGUCGGAGGCCCCGCGGCGUCGGCGGCGGCCAAGAAGAGCCGGCGCGGGCCGCGGUCGCGCAGCUCGCAGUACCGCGGCGUCACCUUCUACCGCCGGACGGGGCGGUGGGAGUCGCACAUAUGGGAUUGCGGCAAGCAGGUCUAUCUGGGUGGAUUCGACACUGCUCAUGCGGCGGCUCGGGCGUACGAUCGGGCGGCGAUCAAGUUCCGCGGCAUGGAGGCCGACAUCAACUUCAGCCUGGAGGAUUACGACGACAUCAAGCAGAUGGGCAACCUGACCAAGGAGGAGUUCGUCCACGUGCUCCGGCGCCAGAGCACGGGGUUCCCCCGGGGCAGCUCCAAGUACAGGGGCGUCACCCUCCACAAGUGCGGCAGGUGGGAGGCGCGGAUGGGCCAGUUCCUCGGCAAGAAGUACGUCUACUUGGGGCUGUUCGACACCGAGGAGGAAGCCGCCAGGUCGUACGACCGCGCUGCCAUCAAGUGCAACGGCAAGGAUGCGGUGACAAACUUCGAUCCCAGCACCUACGCCGAGGAGUUCGAGCCCGCGGCUUCGACCGGCGACGCGGAGCAGAACCUGGACCUGUCGCUGGGGAGCUCGGGGGGCUCCAACAAGAGGGGCAGCCUCGACGGCGGCGGAGGCGGCGACGACGACGGCGCGGCCGGGUCCGACCAGCGCGUCCCCAUGGCCUUCGAGCUCGACUGGCAGACGGCGGCGGCGGCGGCGGCGGCACGGAGCACCAAGGCCAAGUUCGACCAGAACUUGACGCAUCACCAGAUGCCCCCUCCGGCCCUGCAAGCCUCCCACAUGCCCUUCAGUCCCAGGCACCACCAAUUCAUGGGCAACGGCGAUCCGGGGACCGCGGGAGGCCUGUCGCUGACGGUCGGCGCCGCCGGCGGGGGCGGGCACUGGCCUCCGCCUCUGCACCACCAAUACCAGCCGCCGCCGCCGCCUCCGCAGCAGCAGCAGCCGCAGCAGAGGCUGCACGGCUGGGGCAACGUCGUCCCCGGCACGAGCUGGCAGCCGCCUCAGCCGCCGCCGCACCACCAGGCGGGGCCGCCGCCGAACAACGCUGCCGCCGCCGCCGCAGCAGCUGCAGCAUCAUCACGAUUCCCACCCUACAUCGCCGCGCAGGCGCAGAGCUGGCUCCAGAAGAACGGCUUCCACUCCCUGGCCCGACCCACCUAG